rnacentral:lncRNA from 1 species
UAAAGAUGAAGUAAUGUGUGAACGCCUUAAUUAUGAUUGGAUAAAAGUAGCUUAAAAACCCCAGUCUAGCCAUCCCAAUUCACUCACUCCCAGAGUCCCAUGGAGAUGCCAUCAUGCUGAGAUCAACCUACCCAGACGUCCACUAUCUUGCAAAUCUUACCUGAUGUGCCACCAUCUAUGACAUUGGGCCAGACAGGAGGCCAUUUUACAGAAACUAACCGUACUGUUUUGCGACUUGGAUAUGUCUUUUACAGUGAACAUAUAAGUGGACUUUUUCUGGAAUAAAGGUAUAUUCAUUCAACAAUUAACG